AGUGAACGCUGGCGGUAGGCCUAACACAUGCAAGUCGAACGGCAGCACAGUAAGAGCUUGCUCUUACGGGUGGCGAGUGGCGGACGGGUGCGGAAUACAUCGGAAUCUACUUUUUCGUGGGGGAUAACGUAGGGAAACUUACGCUAAUACCGCAUACGACCUACGGGUGAAAGCAGGGGAUCUUCGGACCUUGCGCGAUUGAAUGAGCCGAUGUCGGAUUAGCUAGUUGGCGGGGUAAAGGCCCACCAAGGCGACGAUCCGUAGCUGGUCUGAGAGGAUGAUCAGCCACACUGGCACUGAGACACGGUCCAGACUCCUACGAGAGGCAGCAGUGGGGAAUAUUGGACAAUGGGCGCAAGCCUGAUCCAGCCAUACCGCGUGGGUGCAGAAGGCCUUCGGGUUGUAAAGCCCUUUUGUUGGGAAAGAAAAGCAGCAGGUUAAUACCCCGCUGUUCUGACGGUACCCAAAGAAUAAGCACCGGCUAACUUCGUG
rnacentral:rRNA from 1 species